rnacentral:misc_RNA from 1 species
UCCGGCUUAACACCGGCAGUCCCUCUAGAGUGCUCAGCUUAACCUGGUGGCAAUUAGAGGCAAGGGUUGCGCUCGUUGCGGGACUUAACCCAACAUCUCACGACACGAGCUGACGACAGCCAUGCAGCACCUGGACACCUCGCUCCCCGAAGGGCACCUCUACGUUUCUGCAGAGUUCGAGGGGGUUCUAACCCAGGUAAGGUUCUUCGCGUUGCGUCGAAUUGAACCACAUACUCCACCGCUUGUGCGGGCCCCCGUCAAUUCCUUUGAGUUUCAGCCUUGCGGCCGUACUCCCCAGGCGGGGCACUUAAUGCGUUAGCGCCGGCACCCAGGGGGUCGCUCCCCCAGGCACCUAGUGCCCAUCGUUUACGGCGUGGACUAC